rnacentral:rRNA from 1 species
GACGAACGCUGGCGGCGGGCCUAACACAUGCAAGUCGAACGAGUGGCGGACGGGUGAGUAAGGUCUGGGAAACUGCCCGAUGGAGGGGGAUAACUACUGGAAACGGUAGCUAAUACCGCAUACCAUCGGGUGUGCCCAGAUGGGAUGAGCUAGUAGGUGGGGUAACGGCUCACCUAGGCGACGAGCCCUAGCUGGUCUGAGAGGGUGACCAGCCCCACCGGAACUGAUGAACGGCCCAGAUGCCUACGGGAGGCAGCAGUGGGGACUAUUGCACGAUGGGCGCAAGCCUGAUGCAGCCAUGCCGCGUGUAUGAAGAAGGCAUUCGGGUUGUAAAGUACUUUCAGCGAGGAGGCGUUACUCGCAGAAGAAGCACCGGCUAACUCCGUGCCAGCAGCCGCGGUAAUUC